AGUGAACGCUGGCGGUAGGCCUAACACAUGCAAGUCGAACGGCAGCACAGUAAGAGCUUGCUCUUACGGGUGGCGAGUGGCGGACGGGUGAGGAAUACAUCGGAAUCUACUUUUUCGUGGGGGAUAACGUAGGGAAACUUACGCUAAUACCUCAUACGACCUACGGGUGAAAUCAGGGGAUCUUCGGACCUUGCGCGAUUGAAUGAGCCGAUGUCGGAUUAGCUAGUUGGCGGGGUAAAGGCCCACCAAGGCGACGAUCCGUAGCUGGUCUGAGAGGAUGAUCAGCCACACUGGAACUGAGACACGGUCCAGACUCCUACGGGAGGCAGCAGUGGGGAAUAUUGGACAAUGGGCGCAAGCCUGAUCCAGCCAUACCGCGUGGGUGAAGAAGGCCUUCGGGUUGUAAAGCCCUUUUGUUGGGAAAGAAAAGCAGCAGGUUAAUACCCCGCUGUUCUGACGGUACCCAAAGAAUAAGCACCGGCUAACUUCGUG
rnacentral:rRNA from 1 species